rnacentral:hammerhead_ribozyme from 1 species
AUCUAACUGACUAGUUCCAGAUAGGACGAAAUGCACAUCCUGGAU